rnacentral:tRNA from 1 species
GUUCCUGUAGUUGAAAACAACAGCGGCUUUUCGAGCCGCAAGUCUUGGAGAGUAGCCAAGUGGGAAUA